CAUGUGGUUUAUUCGAAGCAACGCGAAGAACCUUACCAGGUCUUGACAUCCUCUGACAAUCCUAGAGAUAGGACGUCCCCUUCGGGGGCAGAGUGACAGGUGGUGCAUGGUUGUCGUCAGCUCGUGUCGUGAGAUGUUGGGUUAAGUCCCGCAACGAGCGCAACCCUUGAUCUUAGUUGCCAGCAUUCAGUUGGGCACUCUAAGGUGACUGCCGGUGACAAACCGGAGGAAGGUGGGGAUGACGUCAAAUCAUCAUGCCCCUUAUGACCUGGGCUACACACGUGCUACAAUGGGCAGAACAAAGGGCAGCGAAACCGCGAGGUUAAGCCAAUCCCACAAAUCUGUUCUCAGUUCGGAUCGCAGUCUGCAACUCGACUGCGUGAAGCUGGAAUCGCUAGUAAUCGCGGAUCAGCAUGCCGCGGUGAAUACGUUCCCGGGCCUUGUACACACCGCCCCGUAU
rnacentral:rRNA from 1 species